CAGCAGCCGCGGUAAUACAGAGGGUGCGAGCGUUAAUCGGAUUUACUGGGCGUAAAGCGUGCGUAGGCGGCUUUUUAAGUCGGAUGUGAAAUCCCUGAGCUUAACUUAGGAAUUGCAUUCGAUACUGGGGAGCUAGAGUAUGGGAGAGGAUGGUAGAAUUCCAGGUGUAGCGGUGAAAUGCGUAGAGAUCUGGAGGAAUACCGAUGGCGAAGGCAGCCAUCUGGCCUAAUACUGACGCUGAGGUACGAAAGCAUGGGGAGCAAACAGGAUUAGAUACCCGUGUAGUCCCUGUCUCUUAUAC
rnacentral:rRNA from 1 species